rnacentral:lncRNA from 1 species
AAUAUUUGAAUUGUUUUGAGCUUUGCUUUUCCCGUUGAUAGUCAAUCUCCGUAGACGUAGUGAAGGAUAUCCGGAUCCGGAUCCUACCAUGAAGGAUUCUUCUCGUAUCUUUCUUUUACCAUUAUAGAUGGAUGGAGCCAUUUUAUGUUCAAUUGUAGCAAAUAUGGUGGAGUUCGUUUCACAGUCCCCAUGUAUGAUAGGCCAGUUUGAGCUCUGGCAAGUAUGUUGUACCAAAUGAAAGAGAAAAUUUCAAGGAAUAGUCUUUGUUGCCUUGUUCUUGUUGACUGAAUUGGCAGAACAAAUCCUGCAGAGUUAUAGUAGGAUACACAUAAUAAGCAAGAUAUGAAUUUUUUUAUUCCCAACCGGAUGCCGGGUAAGUUUAGUUGGCUGUAACAGUGUUCUGUCUAUAUGUUUUUUUUUUCAUAUUUCAGCAUCGAAAAAGAAAUACCAUUGCAUGUGGUAACAUGAUUUGUGAAUUUGGUUCCGUAUGUACUUUUUGUGGUUAUUGAAUGUUGUGAAUUACUACACUUAGCUUCUCGUUGAAAUUAGAUUGCUGCUGAUUUUGCAUGAUCAAUGUUAAGCUAUUGUAUAAAGUUAAUCUUUCUGGAGCAAGGGAACUGAACAGUCUUCAUAGUCCAACCAAAGCAUGCACCUUCUGAUCUUGGUCUCUCUAAAACACUAUCCCUAUUUUCUAAAAGCGAAGUUGUUUUUAGUGUUUGGUAUGACAAAGGAAAAUAGUUUCUACCAAAAGAGGAAAAAUGACCUGGCUUAUGGACACAAGUUAUUUUCCUUUAUAACUAUACCUGCGUACCAUCACUUGCUUAACAUGACUUGUUCCAUUCAAUAAUUAUUACACUAUUCAAUCUUUAAUGUCUAAAACCUCACAAAAACUUUAUUCAAUUUGCUGGUAUUAUUAUUAAUGUAUAGUCUUAAAAAAUACUCCCUCCGGUCCAAAAUAAAUGAUUUUUUAGCCUUUUUCUUGUGGUCCAAAAUAAGUGAUUUUUCCAGAUUUCAAGAAUGAAUUAAUUAUUUUUUUCCUACAUUGUCCUUGGAGUAACUAGUGUUGGAAUAUGUGUUAGGAGUGUUUAUGUGAGAUAAUAAAGGUUAAUAUGGUCAAUUUCAUUGCUAAUUAAUGCUAAAAGGUGGAUUUCUUAAUCUGUAUGAAAACAUCAAAUAAAUCACUUAUUUUGGACCGGAGGGAGUAGUAGCUUUUACUCACCAAUUUGUUUGUCGCUUUUUUGAAGAAAAUACUUUUUAAGCAAACAUUUUUUAUUGAAAAUAUUUUUUUUUCAUUCCAAAUUGUGUUUCGAAUAAUUUUUCAAAAUUCUACAAGUUCACUUCAUUUUAGAAAAUAGUUCAAGAUUCUUAUUUUUUUAAAGUGGAAGGGAUGGAACCGUUCAUCUCCGAACAAUAGUGCAGUGGAAGGUUCUAUUGACGGCUCGUCUAGCAAAUUGGGAGCAAUUAAUAUGAUAUGAUUGUGCUAACCGCAAGUUCCCCUAUUAUAUAUAUAUACUUCUACUAUUAACAAAUGUAGCUCAAAGUAACAAUAUACACAAAAAGAUAAGUAAUAGAAUAAGAGAAAAAAAGAUAACUUUCUUAUUUUAUCAAGUGUUCAAUUGUGUCCCAUAUCAUAUUUCAUGUCUCUAUUUAUACUAUUACAUAGAAUGCUACAAAAUAAUUGUCUUAAACAUGAAAUUAACAAUUGAGAUCAUGGGGGAAGAUCAUGGGGAAGGGUUACGGGGGUGUGGGAGUUACAAUCAUAAUAGUGAUGAGUAGCGAGAGAUUAUUUACAUCAUGGUGAAAGUAAUGGGAGUAGUGGACAUCUACAUUUACUAAUAGUUUUAUAACACUCUCCCGUGGAUGUCUAAAAAUAGAUAAUAUGCCUCGUUAAAAUCUUACUAAGAAAAAAUUCCGUGGGAAAAAAUCUCAGUGAAGGAAAAAGAGUAUACAUAUCUAUAAUACGCUUUAUUUGCUGCCUCGUUAAAAACCUUACCAGGAAAACUCAGUGGGACAAAACCUAGAAAGAAAAAAA